CAAUAGCAUAUAUUAAAGUUGUUGCAGUUAAAAAGCUCGUAGUCGAAGGUGGGGUUGGGGAGGAGGGGGGUGUGCAAACGCUCCACCCUCUCCCCGCCCAUGCGUCGCAUCGGGCGGCCGUGCCGCAUUGAUUUGUGGGCGGUCGUCUGGACGCGUUUUACUGUGAGUAAAUUAGAGUGUUCCAGGCAGGCGGGCACGCCGAUGGAUAGUUUAGCAUGGAAUAAUAGUGGAGGACGGCCGCGAGCUGACGUUGGUUCCGCCGCGAGCGUAAUGAUUAACAGGGACAGUUGGGGGCAGUCAUAUUUGGUCGUCAGAGGUGAAAUUCUUGGAUUGGCCAACGAUGAACUUGUGCGAAAGCGUCUGCCAAGGAUGUUUUCAUUGA
rnacentral:rRNA from 1 species